rfam:Fistulina hepatica ATCC 64428 unplaced genomic scaffold FISHEscaffold_432, whole genome shotgun sequence.
GUCUGCAUGGCUCAGCUGGUUAGAGCGCCGGUCUCAUACGUAUCUUGUAUGAAUGCUUCCACUGCAUACAAUCCGGAGAUCGUGAGUUCGAUCCUCACUGCGGACA